CCAAGGUUUUACAGCACCAUAAUGCCUACUCCACCCAUGCUCCACCAAGGUUUUACAGCACCACAAUGCCUACUCCACCCAUGCUCUACCAAGGUUUUACAGCACCACAAUGCCUACUCCACCCAUGCUCUACCAAGGUUUUACAGCACCACAAUGCCUACUCCACCCAUGCUCUACCAAGGUUUUACAGCACCACAAUGCCUACUCCACCCAUGCUCUACCAAGGUUUUACAGCACCACAAUGCCUACUCCACCCAUGCUCUACCAAGGUUUUACAGCACCACAAUGCCUACUCCACCCAUGCUCCACCAAGGUUUUACAGCACCAUAAUGCCUACACCCAUGCUCUACCAAGGUUUUACAGCACCAUAAUGCCUACUCCACCCAUGCUCUACCAAGGUUUUACAGCACCACAAUGCCUACUCCACCCAUGCUCUACCAAGGUUUUACAGCACCACAAUGCCUACUCCACCCAUGCUCUACCAAGGUUUUACAGCCCCACAAUGCCUACUCCACCCAUGCUCUACCAAGGUUUUACAGCACCACAAUGCCUACUCCACCCAUGCUCUACCAAGGUUUUACAGCACCACAAUGCCUACUCCACCCAUGCUCCACCAAGGUUUUACAGCACCAUAAUGCCUACACCCAUGCUCUACCAAGGUUUUACAGCACCAUAAUGCCUACUCCA